rnacentral:rRNA from 11 species
GUCUGCAUUCUACUGCUGCUUAAAUACCUAGAGGCACCAGGUUCUGUAUGAUCUUGGAUGCAAAACGGGGUCAGCCCUGGUUAAUACUUGGAUGGGAAAUCACUAAUGAAUUCCAGGUGUUGUAGGCU